rnacentral:misc_RNA from 1 species
AAGUCGUAACAAGGUUUCCGUAGGUGAACCUGCGGAAGGAUCAUUAACACGUGUUCCACGUAUAAACCACUGUGCACUUAUUCUGUUCUGGGGGCGCUUCUUCCUGGGCUCUGAGAGGAGUUCGGGGAGUCGAUUGUCCUGUCAUCGGCUUCGCGGCCUUUGACGAAGUUUUCACUUCAUUAACGCUUUUAACAAAUCUGUUCUAAAUUGUUGUUUCGAGAUCUGCAUCGAAAGGUGCAUCUCCAAACUAACUAACUCUAACAAAACAUUUGUACAACUCUUAACAACGGAUAUCUUGGUUCUC